rnacentral:rRNA from 1 species
GACGAACGCUGGCGGCGUGCUUAACGCAUGCAAGUCGAACGGAAAGGCCCUGCUUUUGUGGGGUGCUCGAGUGGCGAACGGGUGAGUAACACGUGAGUAACCUGCCCUUGACUUUGGGAUAACUUCAGGAAACUGGGGCUAAUACCGGAUAGGAGCUCCUGCUGCAUGGUGGGGGUUAGAAAGUUUCGGCGGUUGGGGAUGGACUCGCGGCUUAUCAGCUUGUUGGUGGGGUAGUGGCUUACCAAGGCUUUGACGGGUAGCCGGCCUGAGAGGGUGACCGGCCACAUUGGGACUGAGAUACGGCCCAGACUCCUACGGGAGGCAGCAGUGGGGAAUAUUGCACAAUGGGCGGAAGCCUGAUGCAGCAACGCCGCGUGCGGGAUGACGGCCUUCGGGUUGUAAACCGCUUUCGCCUGUGACGAAGCGUGAGUGACGGUAAUGGGUAAAGAAGCACCGGCUAACUACGUG